AGAGUUUGAUUCUGGCUCAGGAUGAACGCCGGCGGUGUGCCUAAUACAUGCAAGUCGUACGCACUGGCCCAACUGAUUGAUGGUGCUUGCACCUGAUUGACGAUGGAUCACCAGUGAGUGGCGGACGGGUGAGUAACACGUAGGUAACCUGCCCCGGAGCGGGGGAUAACAUUUGGAAACAGAUGCUAAUACCGCAUAACAACAAAAGCCACAUGGCUUUUGUUUGAAAGAUGGCCUUGGCUAUCACUCUGGGAUGGACCUGCGGUGCAUUAGCUAGUUGGUAAGGUAACGGCUUACCAAGGCGAUGAUGCAUAGCCGAGUUGAGAGACUGAUCGGCCACAAUGGAACUGAGACACGGUCCAUACUCCUACGGGAGGCAGCAGUAGGGAAUCUUCCACAAUGGGCGCAAGCCUGAUGGAGCAACACCGCGUGAGUGAAGAAGGGUUUCGGCUCGUAAAGCUCUGUUGUUGGAGAAGAACGUGCGUGAGAGUAACUGUUCACGCAGUGACGGUAUCCAACCAGAAAGUCACGGCUAACUACGUGCCAGCAGCCGCGGUAAUACGUAGGUGGCAAGCGUUAUCCGGAUUUAUUGGGCGUAAAGCGAGCGCAGGCGGUUGCUUAGGUCUGAUGUGAAAGCCUUCGGCUUAACCGAAGAAGUGCAUCGGAAACCGGGCGACUUGAGUGCAGAAGAGGACAGUGGAACUCCAUGUGUAGCGGUGGAAUGCGUAGAUAUAUGGAAGAACACCAGUGGCGAAGGCGGCUGUCUGGUCUGCAACUGACGCUGAGGCUCGAAAGCAUGGGUAGCGAACAGGAUUAGAUACCCUGGUAGUCCAUACCGUAAACGAUGAGUGCUAGGUGUUGGAGGGUUUCCGCCCUUCAGUGCCGGAGCUAACGCAUUAAGCACUCCGCCUGGGGAGUACGACCGCAAGGUUGAAACUCAAAGGAAUUGACGGGGGCCCGCACAAGCGGUGGAGCAUGUGGUUUAAUUCGAAGCUACGCGAAGAAACUUACCAGGUCUUGACAUCUUGCGCUAACCUUAGAGAUAAGGCGUUCCCUUCGGGGACGCAAUGACAGGUGGUGCAUGGUCGUCGUCAGCUCGUGUCGUGAGAUGUUGGGUUAAGUCCCGCAACGAGCGCAACCCUUGUUACUAGUUGCCAGCAUUAAGUUGGGCACUCUAGUGAGACUGCCGGUGACAAACCGGAGGAAGGUGGGGACGACGUCAGAUCAUCAUGCCCCUUAUGACCUGGGCUACACACGUGCUACAAUGGACGGUACAACGAGUCGCAAGCUCGCGAGAGUAAGCUAAUCUCUUAAAGCCGUUCUCAGUUCGGACUGUAGGCUGCAACUCGCCUACACGAAGUCGGAAUCGCUAGUAAUCGCGGAUCAGCAUGCCGCGGUGAAUACGUUCCCGGGCCUUGUACACACCGCCCGUCA
rnacentral:rRNA from 1 species